GCCCGACUAGCUCACCGGUAGAGCGCCUCACUAGUAUGGUCUCGACCUCACGAGAUCCCCUCUCGCAAUGAGGAGGCAACAGGUUCGACUCCUGUGUUGGGCA